rnacentral:rRNA from 1 species
UGCGAAGGGGGCUAGCGUUGUUCGGAAUUACUGGGCGUAAAGCGCACGUAGGCGGACAUUUAAGUCAGGGGUGAAAUCCCAGAGCUCAACUCUGGAACUGCCUUUGAUACUGGCGACCUUGAGUCCGGGAGAGGUGAGUGGAACUGCGAGUGUAGAGGUGAAAUUCGUAGAUAUUCGCAAGAACACCAGUGGCGAAGGCGGCUCACUGGCCCGGUACUGACGCUGAGGUGCGAAAGCGUGGGGAGCAAACAGG